rnacentral:lncRNA from 1 species
CUGCCAUGGAAAGUCCUUCCCUGAGUGAUUCAUGGUCACUGCCUCUGGCUCUUCUAUGAGGCUACAUGGAGCUUUACUGAAGCAGGGCAUAUGCCUGCUUGUAAGUCAAUCACCAGCUGAGAGCAAUGGGGUUUCCCUGACUGACUUCAGAUGGAUCAUUGCUCAU